GACGAGCGCUGGCGGCGUGCUUAACACAUGCAAGUCGAACGGUAACGCCCUUCGGGGUACACGAGAGUCGAAAGGGGGAGUAACACGCGGGUGAUCUGCCCUGCACUUCGGGAUAAGCCUGGGAAACGGGGGGCAAUACCGGCUAGGACCACAGCGUGCAUAGGUGGGGGUGGAAAGCUUUUGGGGUGUGGGAUGGGCCAGGGGCCUAUAAGGUUGUUGGUGGGGUGAUGGCCUACCAAGGCGACGAGGGGUAGCCGGCCUGGGAGGGUGACCGGCCACACUGGGACUGAGAUACGGCGCAGUCUCCUAUGGGAGGCAGUAGUGGGGAAUAUUGUACAAUGGGGGCUAGUCUGAUGCAGCGACGCCGCGUGAGGGAUGACGUCCUUCGGGUUGUAAACCUCUUUCAGCAACGACGAAGCGCAAGUGACGGUAGGUGCAGAAGAAGGACCGGCCAACUACGUGCCAGCCGCCGCAGUAA
rnacentral:rRNA from 1 species